UGUUUAAGAGGGCUCACUAUUUUCAACUUUUGUGGCCUGGGGCAGGGGGAAUGAAGUAGGGAGCGGUAUGCCUCUGUGCAAAACGUAGUUUAACCUUCAUUUCAGUAUAAAGAACUUAAAGGUGCCCUUAUUUCAUAGCCCUUAACUUUUGCUUGCCCACAAAUUUGAACAGAAUCGUUUUACUUGGUUCCCCCAAAAAUAUUAAAUAACUUUGAUUUGGCAUUUUUUAACAAUAUUACAACAUCAUGUAAAGAGAUAUUUAAAAGUAAUAAACCCCAAAAAAGUAAUCUCAAGAUUUAUCUGUGCUAAUUAAUAGUUUAUUAUUUCAGUUGGGGCAACUUUUUUUUUUUUUUUUUUUUUUUUGGUU
rnacentral:lncRNA from 1 species